rnacentral:misc_RNA from 1 species
CAUGUGAAAAAGUAAGCGAACCAGAAAAGUUCAAAUAUUUUCAACGCAAGUAGGUUCUUUAAAACUGUGAAUACUUCGAAGUGAAAAUAUUUUUCUAUUUGGAUAUAGGUUACGGAUGAAAUAGGAUAUAAAAUAUUUUUCGAAACUUCGAAGAUUUUGCUAGAUAAUUGCGACGGAAACCUCUUCAGAAUGGACAACACUCUUAGUUACGAAAAUACUCCGACUUCAAGUGAGUACAAGUAUAAAACCUACAUGCAGAUGAUCGCACAUUGGGCACAGUUGUAUCCAAACAAAGAAGCGUUUGUAGAAUACAACGCAAAAGCAGAGAGACAUUCUAUAACCUGCCAAGAGUUGUUGGAAAAAAGUAAAUCUUUUGGGUGGUAUGUGGCCAGUAUUGGAAUCCAAAAAGGUGAUAUGGUUGCGUUCUGUAUGGAAAACUCCUUGAACAUGCUUAUUGCAAUGUUUGGUGUACAGUUUGCUGGAGGAAUACCUUUUUCAACUUUGCAAAGUAGAGCGGACGGGUAUGACGUCGUGAAGACUAUUCGUGGCCAAAAUUCCAAACUGCUUAUAAUGGACGCUAAGCAAGGGGAACACAGCUGGCAUCUGUUAGAGAACAUUCAGUCAUCUCAAGAUGUUUUCUGUCUUCUUGACGUCGUCUACAAUAACAAAUCCUCUGAACUGAUUCAUUUCCACUUUAAAGAAAAAGACAGUCAUGUUAUCAGUUUAACAAAUACGCCAGAAGUACAACUUCCAGAUGCGUAUCCUGAAGACUUGGCUAUGUAUUUCGAAACAUCCGGCAGCACCGGUGAACCAAAAUUGGUAGGGCAUGCUCAUUUUGGAUUUCCCGGUAGUACGUAUCUACUCAAAGACUGCCUUGAAAUAGACAGCCAGUCCAGAUAUUUCUGCGACAGGCCGCUUGGAUGGAGUGGAGGCGCUCCCAGUAUGUUCUUCAACUUUGGAGCAACUCGAGUGAUACUGAACAGUUCUUUAUCGAUUCAUACAAACAAUAUAGAUUUCCUGUCCGAUGUCAUAUACAAAGAAAAGUGCACACACGUGUAUCUACCUGGAUAUCUUGUCUCGGAUCUUCUUAGAAGUCGUGGAAAUAAGCCCAAAUUUUCUUCUGUCAAAGUUAUCAGUUAUUUCUCAGAAAGAUUCUCAAAGCAUUAUUCAGCAAUUCUAAACCGUUUUUGUGAGAAACUGGUCAUCUGUUAUGGAUCCACAGAGACAGGCGAUGUAUCAACUUUUUCCUCUUAUAGUUCUGAAGAGUAUGAGGAUGGACUUAUCGGGAAACCGUUACCAGGAAUUGAGAUGAAACUUGUUGACAGACAUGGCAAUAUUGUGCCACGGGGACAGGAAGGAGAGUUGCUUGUCAGGAGCGUUUAUAGAUUUCUAGAGUACAAAGAUAUGCAGGAAAAAUUUCUAGAUACAGUUGACAAACGAAACUGGCUUCACACUGGUGAUGUGGCGCAUAUACGAGAAGACGGCAACUUUAUAUUACAUGGACGGACAAGCGAGCUAAUGUCUGUUGGUACUGUAAAGAUCUUUCCUCAAGAAGUUGAAAAAAUCUUAAUCAGUUGCUCAGAAGUAGAGGCCGUGGUAGUCGUACCGGUUCCUGACGAAAGAUUACACCAUGCCAUUUGCGCAUGCAUCUUGCUAUCGAAGACAAAGAGUGUGGGCGUAAAGGAUAUGCACACAUAUUUCGACCAUCUGUGGACUGACGCCGCUUAUAACAAGCCGAAGUAUUAUUUUGCAUUUGAGACAUUUCCGAGAAAUUCAAAUGGUAAAAUUGACAGGAAACGAAUUGCAAUGAUAGCUUCUUCACAACUGAAUCUUUGUUGAAAAGGACGUAAAAAAAUACACACAAAUCAGAUCACCUGUGAAAAGCAAUUUUCCUGACAUUUGCCGUCCUUUUGUGUCCUUAUUUCAUUGCCACAAACCUACGAGAACACAUCAGUGUGUUGUCCUUUCGUGUCUUUACCUUCCGUAACAUAUGCAUAGAGAAAUAACAUCUAACAUGACGAGCUCUUUAUGUUAAGUAAUUUUACAAGUGAAAAAAAUAUAAUAAUACUGCAGAAAAAGGAUCAGCAUAUGUACGGAUGCGUUGUUAGCUCGUCUGAGUUCUGAAAACUAGGUAAAGUUGUCAUUUGAUCGUCGGUGUCAGCGUUAGUUUUUGUUUAGGUCUAACUUUUCUCAUACACUAUAAGAGAUAUAUCUUUAAAACUUUGCAUACUUGUUAUGAUUUUGUAGGUUAGGAAGUAUAUCAAGAACCAUAACUCUCGCUUGCAUUUUUCAAAAAGGACGACAUAUUACUAAAUUAAAUAUGUUUUAUGGCGAUGACACUAUGACACGAAAGAACGACAAAUUGUCGACUUUCACUUUAUCGCCUUGUAAAAAAUAAAACUAUCGUUAAUUAUUAAAACUUAGCUUGCAAAAUAUGCAAGUUCUCAAAUGAAAAUUAAUAAUCAGUCCAUUAUCUUUACUUUCUUUUUUUAGUGGUGAAAUUUAACAACUCUUAUUUCACGCUUAGUAUUGUUUUGAUUGUUAUAUCAUGGGCUAUUGUUUCUCGCCGAUUCUCAUUCACUUCUACUGUUUUUGUUUAUCCUCACGUCCUGUUCCAUCUAGAGUGCUUUCUGCCAAACAUCUUAUGCUUCCUUUCGUCAUUCCACGACUAUUCUAUCUCACUUAUUUGUCGUUAUGUCCUUAGGAGUAAAGAAAUAGGAGCAUUGAGAAUGGCGCUUGGACUGCAUCAUUUUCGGGUGUACGUUAAUGUUCAUAUUUAACGUUUUUGCUACAAUUUUUGUUCGACUCUGUCUACAUACGUUAAUGUUUUAUGGCGUAACUUUAUUUUAAGUUACACCUUAAUAUCUUAGCCAUUUGUAGGUCGGCUUCAGAUUCACAUAUAUUGUAAGUCGCGCUCAUUUUAGGUAUCUCGAAGAUACCUUGAUGAUUAAAUGUAGACUAGUUAAUUGUUUUAAUACAUGUAAUAUGACAGAAUGCAAUCACGAAACCUACUCGAAUCUCACACAAUUAAAGUACUCUAAUUAACAAAUACUGUAGUACAGUAAUAUAGUGAGAUUCAGGAGUUAAUCAUUCACCACCAGAUAUUAGUGAUUACACUAAUUAUAUUAAGAAUCACUGAGGUAUUUUUUUAUAAUACUCUUGAAUUUCCAAUGAAUGGUUUAAGUUAUAUAGUUCCCAGAAAAUAUUGGAGAAUUAUGAGGUGCAGAUGGAAAAAUUCUAACGCUGAAGGCUUGAAAACGAAAAUCAUCACAUUGUUGUUCCCGGCGCUGACAACACUUCGUAUCUAUAUCAUGUUAACCAACCUGUGGACACCGAGUCAGACACUGACGCCAGGAUGAGUUUGACAGCUCUCCAUAUACUUUGUAUAGUCGAGCUGAAAAUGGUUAUUUUUCAUUCAGCAGUAGAUUACACACAUAUCGUGAUAUAUGCAUGUAGAGCGGAUGAAGUGGUACAGUUGUAAUACAAAGAAUGCUGUCUGAUCCACCAUAACUGUAACAUUUUUUGAAUAUGAUUUCAGAUAAAGAUUUAAGUUAUACAUACGCGUUUGUGCAUGUGUUUAAACAAUGUUUAUAAGUGGAAUUUCUUUACGAUUGACACAUAUAUAGAACUUUUUAGCUCAUCUCACACCGUAUUAUUGCAAAGAUAAAGCCUGUACUAAAAUGACAAGGUAGUACUGCUGUAGUAACAGUACUUGUAGAUGACAAUAUAGCUGAGCUUGCCUAGACCCAGUUGUUCAAAACUUUAACAGGCGAUUAAGCUAACAGUCGAUUAACUUUUACAGUUAUAUUUCGACAUUUUAGAACACUUUGAAAACCAAAUGUAUGAGUUAAUGAUUAUGAACACCAAAAUGUCUUUACAGUAAAACUAUUACAUCGUACUAGUGUUUCCCAUCAAGACUACUAUUUUGAGUCAAAAUUUAACAGGCGGUUAGUUUAACAGUCUGUCAAAGUUUCGAACAGCUGGUUAAUUUGCCAAUAACAAGAUAUAUCCUAACUAUCGAUAAUAGUUAAUAUUGUUGAUUGUUCUUGCUGACAUUUAUGAAUAUUAUACAAUUUCUCUUAUAAACAGAUAGUAGAAUUCAUCCAACUGUUGGUAAUAAUGAUACUAUUGCACAAAAUCGUACUAAUGGUGAGAUAAUUUUCAUUAUCUGGUUACAUCUCUGUUGCCAUCCAGGAAUACAUAAUAAAAAUCAACAACAUCUGCAUGUUUGUCUGCAUCUUGCUAUAUAAGCAGAAUCCAAGAAUUGAAGGGCAAGUCACAUUUAUGCAGUUACAUGACUGACAUAUUCCUUGGAUGGAUUCUGCAGGAAUGGAGAUGAAAGUUGUUGACGAACAUGGAAAUGUUGUGCCACGGGGACAGGUAGCAGGUAGGACAGCUGCUUGUCGGGA